GUGUUGUAUGAAAGGAGAGAAGGUUAGCACUCCCCUUGACAAGGACGGAAGAGGCCCUCGGGCCUGACAACACGCAUACACAAAGACAAAAAACCAAACACCGCAUGUUCUCACUCAU
ensembl:snRNA